rnacentral:rRNA from 1 species
GAAACUAACAAGGAUUUUCUUAGUAGCGGCGAGCGAAAAGAAAACAGUUCAGCACUAAGUCACUUUGUCUUUAUGGCAAAUGUGAGAUGCAGUGUAUGGAACGUCUUCAAUCUAGUAUGAGAAAUUAACGAUUUAAGUCCUUCUUAAAUGAGGCCAAUUACCCAUAGAGGGUGCCAGGCCCGUAUAACGUUAAUGAUUACUAGAAGGCGCUUCCGAAGAGUCGUGUUGCUUGAUAGUGCAGCACUAAGUUGGUGGUAAACUCCAUCUAAAACUAAAUAUAACCAUGAGACCGAUAGUAAACAAGUACCGUGAGGGAAAGUUGAAAAGAACUCUGAAUAGAGAGUUAAAUAGUACGUGAAACUGCUUAGAGGUUAAGCCCGAUGAACCUGAAUAUCCGUUAUGGAAAAUUCAUCAUUAGAAUUGUAAUAUCUUUAAAAAAAUAUUAUAAUGAUAGUGUGCAUUUUUUCCAUAUAAGGACAUUGUAAUCUAUUAACAUAUAUAUAUAUUUAUCAAAAAUUCAUAAACCUUUGUGUUUAUUUCAAUUAUUAUGGCUUGCUAUUUUAACAUAGAAUAAUUGUUUAUGAUUUGAUAAAGUGUUGAUAGAUUUAUCAUAUAUACAGUGCUUUAAUUUUUUUAUUAAAAUUAUAUAAUGGCAUAAUUAUCAAUGAUUUUUAUGUUUAUUAUAUGCACUUGUAUGAUUAACAAUGCGAAAGAUUCAGGAUACCCUCGGGACCCGUCUUGAAACACGGACCAAGGAGUCUAACAUAUAUGCAAGUCAUUGGGAUUUUUAUAAACCUAAUGGCGUAAUUAACUUGACUUUAUUUUAAAAUGGGAUUAGUUUUUAAAUUAUUUAUAAUUUAUUAAUUCAAUCCCGGGGCGUUCUAUAUAGUUAUGUAUAAUAAUAUUUAUAUUAUUUAUACCUCUAACU